UACGAAGGGCUAGCGUUGCUCGGAAUUACUGGGCGUAAAGCGCACGUAGGCGGAUCAUUAAGUCGGGGUGAAAUCCUGGAGCUCAACUCCAGAACUGCCUUCGAUACUGGCGAUCUUGAGUCCGGGAGAGGUGAGUGGAACUCCGAGUGUAGAGGUGAAAUUCGUAGAUAUUCGGAAGAACACCAGUGGCGAAGGCGGCUCACUGGCCCGGUACUGACGCUGAGGUGCGAAAGCGUGGGAGCAAACAGG
rnacentral:rRNA from 1 species